CACCCCCUCGUGGGUACGUACCAAAAGCGGAAGGAAGAAGAAGAUCCCGCGUGGUGGUCGGCUGGCGGCCAGCACGUAGAAUGACUUGAAUCCGGUGCCUAGACCACUGUCUACUCCACCAAGCUAGCCAGGCAGCGUACGAAGCCGACCCCAGACGACGAAGCCCUUGCUGUGGCCAACUGGAGCGUGCAGUGGCUCGUGAUCGGCGUACCUAUCUGAGCUAAGUGCCAUGUCGCUCCUGCUAGUUAUCGGCAUGAUCUUUGGAGCCUGGCUGUUCAUCCGUGCGCCACAGUGGCUACUUCUCCUCUUGGGAUUCGGACCGACCGGAGUGAAGCCGAGAAGUCUGGCAUCCAGGUGGCAGUCCCUCCUGCGGGGCCGCAUCCCGAAAAACGGCUACUUCUCUCGACUGCAACACUGGGCAAUGACUGGCCUACCUAUCUGGCUGAAGAUAUCCCUUGGUUACAUUGGAGUCCAAUGGAGCCUAUGGAUGGCAACAUAGGACUGCGCCAUACUCUUUCUAAGUCACCUGAGCAUACAGCUGGGGCGUAGAAAAAUGCUAGAUGUCGCAGCAGUGGAUGGCCUAGAGACCGCGAAGUUUUGAAAGGCAAUAUAAAUUUAACGUCUGUAGAAAUACGCGAUAACCGGAGUAAGAACCGGUGUUUGUUAGCAAUUUAGUUUGAGAUGACCGAUAAAUAGAAGACGACUCGUAGCCAGUGGGCUGGUAGUCUAAACAAUGAGCGGAUGAUUUGGCAAAGCAUGAGUAAUGUCCAAGUACAGUCGGCAACCUACGCGCAAAAUUUAUUGACCUUGUGAUGCGUAUGAGAGAACCUGCAAUUGUGGUGAUGAUAAUAUGGUUGUGGUAGUGUUUCAUUAGCAACAGGUCUGCGAAUACCACGCCAAAAGAAAACUUCCUCAUAGCCACAAUAAUGUGAUCUGUACUUCAGAAGUUGUCCCUCUUGGCGCGAGUGGAAGUUUUUUACUAUACAUUGUACGAGUACGCCGUAAACGUGGGAGCUUAGUUACUUUCUGUUGGUUU